GACGAACGCUGGCGGCGUGCUUAACACAUGCAAGUCGAGCGGUAAGGCCUUUCGGGGUACACGAGCGGCGAACGGGUGAGUAACACGUGGGUGAUCUGCCCUGCACUUCGGGAUAAGCCUGGGAAACUGGGUCUAAUACCGGAUAUGACCUCCUAUCGCAUGGUGGGUGGUGGAAAGAUUUAUCGGUGCAGGAUGGGCCCGCGACCUAUCAGCUUGUUGGUGGGGUAAUGGCCUACCAAGGCGACGACGGGUAGCCGACCCGAGAGGGUGACCGGCCACACUGGGACUGAGACACGGCCCAGACUCCUACGGGAGGCAGCAGUGGGGAAUAUUGCACAAUGGGCGAAAGCCUGAUGCAGCGACGCCGCGUGAGGGAUGACGGCCUUCGGGUUGUAAACCUCUUUCAGCAGGGACGAAGCGCAAGUGACGGUACCUGCAGAAGAAGCACCGGCUAACUACGUG
rnacentral:rRNA from 1 species